UUUAUUCGGACUUCCAACCGAGAAGGUCCCCUAACAGUGAACAAUUUAUAAUCCUAAAAUCGAUGCGACAUAAUUUUCUCUAACUCAAAUAACUAUUAUUUACGGUUUUUCUUAGUAGGCUCAAAAUUUGUGGCAACGGCAUUCGAGUGAAACCAAAAUUAUAUUUCAGUUUUAAUCAAACAUCCAACUGGGAAGGUCCCAUAAAGUGAAGCAUUUAAACUUUUAAAUUCCUGCGACAAUUUUCGUUUAUUCAAAUAAUUUAUUUACGUUUUAUUCAUACACUCAACUGAGGAGGUCCCAAACAGUGAACAUUUUUUUAACAUAGAAUUACUGCGACAAAAUUUUCGUUUAUUCGCUUAUUUACGUUUUUCAUACAUCUAACUGAGAAGGUCCCGAACUGAAAAGUUAAUCCAAAGAGUGCCUGCGACAGAAUUUUGAUUAUUCAAAUUAUAAUUUACGUAUUAUUCACACGUCCAGCUAAGAAGGUACCAAAUAGUGAACAAUUUUAAACCCUGUGCCAAAUUUUCCGUUUAUUCGCCUUGACAUCUCGUUGUACAAAUCGUUUCCCUCGCAGGUGCGCUCGCCGAUUCCCGCGAAGAGGGUGUAUCAAGGAUAUUUCGUUUUUGCAGGAAUCGGCAAGCGCACGUGUUAGGGAACGAUUUGGAGAAUGAGACGCCGCCAAGGAGUCUAUUCAGUCUUUGGAUACCGGGAAAUGGACGAUUUGGUUUCAAGUGACGGCAAUGCCACUUCGACCACGACCCGUGGACACCUUGUAUCGACCAAUUUCGGGUACAAUCCUUACAAUGGGUGCGGUAUCAGCAUUUCGCCGAGACAAUGCUCCAAAAAUGAUAUGGAAAGCGGAAAAAUUGAGAGCACUCACCUGGUACCAUGACUUGUUGGAGUCACGGUGAACUUUUCGCGGUGCAGAUAUUUGUU